CGGUUGAUCCCGCCGGACCUGACUGCUAUCGGAUUGAUACUAAGCCAUGCGAGUCUUUGUAGCAAUACAAGGCAGACGGCUCAGUAACGCGUAGUCAACCUAACCUAUGGAUGGGAAUAACCUCGGGAAACUGAGAAUAAUGCCCAAUAGAACACUAUACCUGGAAUGGUUUGUGUUCCAAAUGAUUUAUCGCCGUAGGAUGGGACUGCGGCCUAUCAGUUUGUUGGUGAGGUAAUGGCCCACCAAGACUAUUACAGGUACGGGCUCUGAGAGGAGUAGCCCGGAGAUGGGUACUGAGACACGGACCCAGGCCCUAUGGGGCGCAGCAGGCGAGAAAACUUUGCAAUGUGCGAAAGCACGACAAGGUUAAUCCGAGUGAUUUGUGCUAAACGAAUCUUUUGUUAGUCCUAGAAACACUAACGAAUAAGGGGUGGGCGAGUUCUGGUGUCAGCCGCCGCGGUAAAACCAGCACCUCAAGUGGUCAGGAUGAUUAUUGGGCCUAAAGCAUCCGUAGCCGGCUCUGUAAGUUUUCGGUUAAAUCUGUACGCUCAACGUACAGGCUGCCGGGAAUACUGCAGAGCUAGGGAGUGGGAGAGGUAGACGGUACUCGGUA
rnacentral:rRNA from 1 species